rnacentral:misc_RNA from 1 species
CGAUGAGCGAACAGUCGCGCGCCGGCCGCUGCCAGGACUAGAUUCGCGUUAUCGUUUCGUGACGAUAAUUCCGAAGCUGCAGCACGGAUCGAAACGCGUGUGUGAAAAUACCGGAAGGACUGCGAUAAAAAAAAAAGAAAAUUAACAAUAAAAAAAACCAUCGGUUUUAUCGAGGAGUUUAACGUAAGUUUCGUCUCAUUUGCUUUGCGCGCUGUAACUGUGAACGAGCGUUGAAAUAAUCGUGGAAAAAUUAUAAACCGGAAGUCCAUCGAAUCCCUUCAACUUUACAUACCGAGGGGAAUAAAAAUUGGGUCGUCGGAGAAUAGAAGGUGGACGGUGGUGGUGGGGCUCCGUCGUCGUGUCGCAGGGUGAACGAAACGGAAGUGGUUUCGGGAGAAGCUGGCGAAGGGGUGGCGGAAGGCUGGCGGUCCGAGAUGAGCGAUGAGGGGGGGCCUGGGCUGCCUGCUAGCCUCCGUAUUCGUCGUCCAUCUCGUCAACGUGAGCGGGCUGCCGCCCGUCGUGAAAAUCGGUGCCAUAUUCACUCAUGACCAAAAAGAUAGCAGUACGGAACUGGCGUUCAAGUACGCGGUCUACAAAAUCAACGAGGACAAGACCAUUUUACCGCACACUACCCUGGCAUACGAUAUCCAAUACGUCCCCAAAGAUGACUCGUUCCACGCGUCGAAAAAAGCCUGCCAGCAGGUCAAGUUUGGAGUCCAGGCCGUCUUCGGACCGUCGGACCCGAUACUCGGACAGCACAUUCACAGCAUCUGCGACGCCCUGGACAUACCGCAUCUGGAGGCGAGACUCGAUCUGGACGCGGAGGCUAAGGAGUUCAGCAUUAACCUUCACCCGGCGCAGACCCUCCUCAACACCGCCUAUCAGGACGUCAUGGCUUUCCUCAACUGGACCAAGGUGGCCAUCGUAUAUGAGGAUGAUUACGGACUUGUGAAGUUGAGGGAACUCGUGCGAUCCCCGAGGUCUCAGGAGAUGGAGAUUCAUCUGAGACAGGCGGACCCGGAGUCUUACAAGCAGGUCCUCACCGAGAUCAAGACCAAGGAGAUUCGCAAUUUGGUCGUGGACACCAAACCCCAGCACAUGCAUCACUUUCUGCGCACGAUUUUACAACUGCAAAUGAACGACUACAGCUAUCACUAUCUCUUCGCGACCUUUGACAUUGAAACGUUUGACCUCGAAGACUUUAAGUACAACUUUGUGAACAUGACCGCGUUUCGCUUGGUCGAUGCUGACGACGUCGGUGUACGAGGAGUCCUUAGGGAUAUGGAAAAAUUUCAGCUCGCCGGAAACACGAUCCUCAACAAAUCUCGAGUAAUACAGGCCGAGCCGGCUCUUAUGUACGAUAGCGUACAGGUGUUCGCCGUCGGUCUGAGGACGUUGGAACAGUCGCACGCCCUUCGUCCCGCAAAUUUAUCUUGCGAACUUGAGCACCCGUGGGACGGAGGACUUUCCCUCAUCAACUACAUAAACUCCGUCGAGCUGAAGGGGAUAUCUGGACCAAUAGAAUUUAAGGAAGGUCGCCGAAUCCAGUUUAAGCUUGAUUUAUUGAAGCUCAAACAACACUCGCUUGUAAAGGUAGGAGAAUGGAGGCCAGGUGCCGGCGUUAACGUUACGGAUAAGGCAGCUUUCUUCGAGCCAGGAAUCGCCAACGUGACGCUGGUCGUCAUCACGAUUCUGGAGACACCGUACGUGAUGAUGCAUUACGAGAAAAACUAUACAGGGAAUACAAGAUUUUACGGAUUUUGCGUGGAUCUUCUUGAGGUUGUGGCUAAGGAGGUUGGAUUUUCAUAUCGUCUGGAGCUAGUACCGGACCGGAAGUACGGAGCGAAGGAUCCAGAAACCGGCGAAUGGAAUGGCAUCGUCAAUGAACUCAUGCGACAUGAGCAGCCAUACGUGAUGCUCGGUACGCAGAGUAACUUCACAGGAAACGCUAGAUACGAAGGAUUCUGCAUCGAUCUAUUAAAGGAGAUCGCCAGGAUGGUCGGCUUCACUUACAGGAUCGAACUAGUGCCCGAUGGAAAGUACGGGGUUUACGACUAUGAGACCGGGGAAUGGAACGGGAUCGUUCGUCAACUGAUGGACAAGAAAGCGGACUUGGCCGUGGGAUCCAUGACGAUAAACUACGCGAGGGAAAGCGUCAUCGACUUUACAAAGCCGUUCAUGAACCUGGGAAUAUCAAUUCUGUUCAAGGUUCCGACGAGUCACCCCGCUAGGCUAUUUUCCUUCAUGAAUCCGCUGGCGAUUGAGAUCUGGCUUUACGUACUCGCGGCGUACGUUCUGGUCUCGGUUACGAUGUUCGUCGUUGCACGAUUCAGCCCCUACGAAUGGAACAACCCGCACCCAUGUCACGCAGGUCCAGAUAUCGUGGAGAACCAGUUCUCUCUGGCGAACAGCUUCUGGUUUACCAUCGGCACACUCAUGCAACAGGGGAGCGAUCUCAACCCAAAGGCGACCAGCACGCGGAUCGUAGGUGGAAUCUGGUGGUUUUUUACCUUGAUCAUCAUAUCGUCUUACACGGCAAAUUUAGCGGCGUUUCUCACCGUCGAAAGGAUGAUAACGCCGAUCGAAAACGCCGAGGACCUCGAAGGCCAAACGGACAUCACCUACGGGACUUUGGAGAGCGGGAGCACGAUGACCUUUUUCAGGGAUUCUAUGAUCGAAACUUACAAAAAAAUGUGGAGGUUCAUGGAAAAUAAGAAACCAUCGGUUUUCGUACCCACGUACGAAGAGGGCAUUCAACGCGUUCUUCAAGGUGAUUACGCAUUCCUGAUGGAAUCAACGAUGCUCGAUUACAUCGUACAAAGGGAUUGCAAUCUCACGCAAAUCGGAGGACUUCUCGACAGCAAGGGAUACGGCAUCGCGACACCUAUGGGUUCCCCCUGGAGGGAUAAAAUUUCGUUGGCUAUUCUCGAACUUCAAGAAAAAGGCGAGAUCCAAAUGCUUUACGACAAGUGGUGGAAAAGUCCAGGAGAUACGUGCAUGAGGACCGAAAAAGGGAAAGAAAGUAAAGCCAACGCUCUCGGAGUGGAUAACAUCGGUGGCGUGUUCGUUGUACUCCUCUGCGGACUCGCCUUCGCAGUGCUAGUUGCCAUUUUCGAAUUCUGCUACAACUCUAAAAGAAACGCACCACCACCCUCUGAGCGACAUGAACUCGUGGAUUGAAGCAUGUGCUACACUUCCGUCACUUCGCUACAUUCGAGAAUUCGUUAUCCAGCACGACAAGCAACGCCCACCGCCGCCCCCGACGUGCUCUGGAUCUCUUCAAGGGAUUCCUCAAGCUACGCAACAGCAACAGCAGCAACAGCAGCAGC